UUAUUAUUGUUGUUCGUUCUUUUGCAUUAACAUGUAUAUGUUGUAGCACAGUUAAUUUAAUAAUAAUUGGCGUUUUGUUUUUAUUUAACCAAUCUCUCGUAUUGAGAUUCAAAUAUACCUUCAUGGUUCUAGCUUGUCUAGGAGAAGUAUUUAUGUUUGCUUGGCCGGCAGAACAUUUGAUUUUUUUAAGUAACAAUAUCUGCCAGACACUUUUUGAUUCGGAUUGGUACAAUCAGUCACUUAAAAUACAAAAACUUCUGUAUAUUAUUAUAGCGAGAAGUCAAAAAGUGGUAAUGCUUUCAAUACCUUGUAUUACGCCAUCAAUAUCUUUUAACUACU